AAUGGGCGCAAGCCUGAUGCAGCGACGCCGCGUGCGGGAUGACGGCCUUCGGGUUGUAAACCGCUUUUGACUGGGAGCAAGCCCUUCGGGGUGAGUGUACCUUUCGAAUAAGCACCGGCUAACUACGUGCCAGCAGCCGCGGUAAUACGUAGGGUGCAAGCGUUAUCCGGAAUUAUUGGGCGUAAAGGGCUCGUAGGCGGUUCGUCGCGUCCGGUGUGAAAGUCCAUCGCUUAACGGUGGAUCCGCGCCGGGUACGGGCGGGCUUGAGUGCGGUAGGGGAGACUGGAAUUCCCGGUGUAACGGUGGAAUGUGUAGAUAUCGGGAAGAACACCAAUGGCGAAGGCAGGUCUCUGGGCCGUCACUGACGCUGAGGAGCGAAAGCGUGGGGAGCGAA
rnacentral:rRNA from 1 species